rnacentral:rRNA from 1 species
UGAGGAAUUUUGCACAAUGGAGGAAACUCUGAUGCAGCGACGCCGCGUGAAGGAUGAAGGGGCUUUGCCCUGUAAACUUCUGUCGGAUGGGAAAAAAAGUUCGGUCGCCGGACUGGGAUUGUACCAUCAAAGGAAGGGUCGGCUAACUACGUGCCAGCAGCCGCGGUAAUACGUAGGACCCAAGCGUUGUCCGGAUUUACUGGGUAUAAAGGGUGCGCAGGCGGAUCUGUGCGUCGAAGGUUAAAGACCAGAGCUCAACUCUGGGAGUGCCCUCGAUACGGCAGGUCUUGAGUACGAGAGAGGAUAGUAGAAUUCCUGGUGUAGCGGUGAAAUGCGUAGAUAUCAGGAGGAAUACCAGUGGCGAAGGCGGCUAUCUGGCUCGUAACUGACGCUCAGGCAC